rnacentral:rRNA from 1 species
AACGAACGCUGGCGGCAUGCCUAACACAUGCAAGUCGAACGAGACCUUCGGGUCUAGUGGCGCACGGGUGCGUAACGCGUGGGAACCUGCCCUUAGGUUCGGAAUAACUCCCCGAAAGGGGUGCUAAUACCGGAUAAUGUCUUCGGACCAAAGAUUUAUCGCCUUUGGAUGGGCCCGCGUUGGAUUAGCUAGUUGGUAGGGUAAAAGCCUACCAAGGCGACGAUCCAUAGCUGGUCUGAGAGGAUGAUCAGCCACACUGGGACUGAGACACGGCCCAGACUCCUACGGGAGGCAGCAGUGGGGAAUAUUGGGCAAUGGGCGAAAGCCUAAUCCAGCAGUGCCGCGUAAGUGAUGAAGGCCUUAGGGUUGUAAAGCUCUUUUACCCGAGAUGAUAAUGACAGUACCGGGAGAAUAAGCUCCGGCUAACUACGUG